GUGGGGAAUAUUGCACAAUGGGGGAAACCCUGAUGCAGCGACGCCGCGUGGAGGAAGAAGGUCUUCGGAUUGUAAACUCCUGUUGUUGAGGAAGAUAAUGACGGUACUCAACAAGGAAGUGACGGCUAACUACGUGCCAGCAGCCGCGGUAAAACGUAGGUCACAAGCGUUGUCCGGAAUUACUGGGUGUAAAGGGAGCGCAGGCGGGAGAACAAGUUGGAAGUGAAAUCCAUGGGCUCAACCCAUGAACUGCUUUCAAAACUGUUUUUCUUGAGUAGUGCAGAGGUAGGCGGAAUUCCCGGUGUAGCGGUGGAAUGCGUAGAUAUCGGGAGGAACACCAGUGGCGAAGGCGGCCUACUGGGCACCAACUGACGCUGAGGCUCGAAAGUGUGGGUAGCAAACAGGAUUAGAUACCCCGGUAGUCC
rnacentral:rRNA from 1 species